UCUGAAAUCAAGUGGGAUUACCCGCUGAA
rnacentral:rRNA from 1 species